rnacentral:lncRNA from 1 species
GGCUUCUCCUCUCUGUCGCUGCUAAUAUAUAUAUUUUUUUCCUUUUGCCCAAAAAGCCUCAAAUCAUUUGCAUUCCAUCGCCACUUACCUGCAGUCCCGUUUGAGCGUGCUGCUCCCUUCCUCACUCCCUCAAUUAGUGGUACCCCGGGCUUCUCUCCCCAUCAGCGCGGCCGCUCGCUCUCCAUGACAUCACCUCCGAGGCCCGUGAUUGGCCGACAGUGGGUUGCUUGGCAAUUGGACAGUCUCCUCCGGCGGAGCAGGGAUUGCCUGAGUGAGUAACUCUUCGCAGGCCGGGGAGUGGGAGAUGAUGUCAGACAAUCAGCCUGCUUUCCAUGCUGCCUGCCGAGCUGGGGGCCAGAGGGGUGUGGAGGGCAGUGGAGAUGGUCUGCUUUCCCUCAUCAGCUGAUGGAGCACCCCAGGUGUGCCUCCCGGCAGCAGGCAUCACCCCCACUACCCAGCCAGAGGACACAGCAGAUCGACUUGGAAAAAGCCUGGAAGGAUCAGGCCUCCCUGACACCCCUGGCGUGUCGCACGUGUCCUCCUUCCCAGUCCCAGGAUCGCCCUGUUUCAAAAUUGCGCUCUGCAUUGAGUUCUCCAUGUGGGUCCCUGUGCGGCGUCAAGUGCUACGGCUCACAAAAUAAAUAAGACAUCAAAGGAAAAUGGAACAUAAAAUGGAGGAGCAGCGAUGGAGGAAGAGGACGGGGAUUUUGAGCUAAUCAGAAAAUACAAUCAGGAAGAUUAUAUUUCGAUGUGUUUACUUUCCAAAGAGAAUAAAU